CCUACGGGGGCAGCAGUGGGGAAUAUUGGACAAUGGGCGAAAGCCUGAUCCAGCCAUGCCGCGUGUGUGAAGAAGGCCUUCGGGUUGUAAAGCACUUUCAGUGGGGAAGAAAGCCUUGGGGCUAAUACCCUCGAGGAAGGACAUCACCCACAGAAGAAGCACCGGCUAACUCCGUGCCAGCAGCCGCGGUAAUACGGAGGGUGCGAGCGUUAACCGGAAUUACUGGGCGUAAAGCGCGCGUAGGCGGUCUGAUAAGCCGGUUGUGAAAGCCCCGGGCUCAACCUGGGAACGGCAUCCGGAACUGUCAGGCUAGAGUGCAGGAGAGGAAGGUAGAAUUCCCGGUGUAGCGGUGAAAUGCGUAGAGAUCGGGAGGAAUACCAGUGGCGAAGGCGGCCUUCUGGACUGACACUGACGCUGAGGUGCGAAAGCGUGGGUAGCAAACAGGAUUAGAUACCCCGGUAGUC
rnacentral:rRNA from 1 species